rfam:Candidatus Riesia pediculicola TSDA, complete genome.
GCGUUCGUAGCUUAAAGGGAGAGCAACACCUUGACGUGGUGAAGGAGAUGGUUCGAUUCCAUUCGAACGCA